rnacentral:rRNA from 1 species
CCCUUAGAUGUUCUGGGCUGCACGCGCGCUACAAUGAUGCAUCCAACGAGUUUAUAACCUUAACCGAGAGGUUUAGGUAAUCUUUUGAGUAUGCAUCGUGAUGGGGAUAGAUUAUUGCAAUUAUUAAUCUUCAACGAGGAAUGCCUAGUAGGCACGAGUCAUCAGCUCGUGCCGAUUACGUCCCUGCCCUUUGUACACACCGCCCGUCGCUCCUACUGAUUGGGUGUUCCGGUGAAUUAUUCGGACCAUACCCAGAGCAGCUUCGGUUACUUCAGGUAUGGGAAGUUUUGUGAACCUUAUCACCUAGAGGAAGGAGAANUCGUANCA